UUCCGGAGACCGCGCCCUUCUUCGCCGUCCUAGCCCCGCCCCGCGGAUGCGCGUGGCGACCCGGACCCGGUGGCCUGGCGUGGUUGCCUGACCUCCUCUGCCGUUCUUUUACGCAGAGUCCUCGUUUAGUGAGUUCCCCUGUCCCGGGCGUCCCACCUCCCCCAGGCCCCGAGUUCCCUGCGAGCUGACGGAGCUGAACCCAGUCUCCUGCCUCCUGGAGCUCUGGCCAACCUGCGUCCCGCCAGUAUAUCUCCUGCCGCCCCAAGGCACCUGAGAAUCACUUGAUUCCUGUCCCCCCAUAGCCCUCACCCUUCUUUUGUUGUUGGUUUGGUUUGGUUUUCGAGACAGAGUUUGAAGCCUUGACUGUCCUGGACUCUGUUUGUAGACCAGGCUGCCCUCGAACUCAAGUCAUCCGCCAGCCUCUGCCUCCCUGAGUACUAGGAUUACAGGCGUGCGCCACCGCGCCCGGCUAUCCUCACCCAUUUUUCAGUCCCUAUUUCUUGUUUAUUUGCUGCUCUGCAGAGGAGCUCCAGAAUCAAGGAGCCCUUGGAUGCCAGAAGAAGGCUUCAGACCCUCUGGAACAGGAGGCUGUGAGCCACCAUGUGGAUUCUGAGAACCAACCUGGGUCCUCUGGAAGAGCAGUAUAUGCUCUUAACCACUGAGCCAUGUCUCCAGCCCGGACUUCUCAUAAUCUUAACAUAAGCUGUUGUUGGUUAAGAUGGCAGCACUCUAGGAUACUUUUUCCAGAAAUGAAAACUCACAUUCAUGCUUUAAUGAAUGCUUGUGGCACCUGCAUUCCUUUUAACACCAAGCUGGAGGCAGCACAGAUGUCUCUGAGUAGGUGAAUGGAGCAGUACUCAGCAGUAAAC